UAGGGAAUCUUCCACAAUGGACGAAAGUCUGAUGGAGCAACGCCGCGUGAGUGAUGAAGGGUUUCGGCUCGUAAAACUCUGUUGUUGGAGAAGAACAGGUGAUAGAGUAACUGUUAUCAUCUUGACGGUAUCCAACCAGAAAGCCACGGCUAACUACGUGCCAGCAGCCGCGGUAAUACGUAGGUGGCAAGCGUUGUCCGGAUUUAUUGGGCGUAAAGCGAGCGCAGGCGGUUUUUUAGGUCUGAUGUGAAAGCCUUCGGCUUAACCGGAGAAGGGCAUCGGAAACCGGGAGACUUGAGUGCAGAAGAGGACAGUGGAACUCCAUGUGUAGCGGUGAAAUGCGUAGAUAUAUGGAAGAACACCAGUGGCGAAGGCGGCUGUCUGGUCUGUAACUGACGCUGAGGCUCGAAAGCAUGGGUAGCGAACAGGAUUAGAUACCCUGGUAGUCCAUGCCGUAAACGAUGAGUGCUAAGUGUUGGAGGGUUUUCCGCCCUUCAGUGCUGCAGCUAACGCAUUAAGCACUCCGCCU
rnacentral:rRNA from 1 species